UACAGAGGGUGCGAGCGUUGUUCGGAAUUAUUGGGCGUAAAGGGCGCGUAGGCGGCGCCACAAGUCACUUGUGAAAACUCUGGGCUCAACCCAGAGCCUGCAGGCGAAACUGUGGUGCUGGAGUAUGGGAGAGGUGCGUGGAAUUCCCGGUGUAGAGGUGAAAUUCGUAGAUAUUCGGAAGAACACCAGUGGCGAAGGCGGCUCACUGGCCCGGUACUGACGCUGAGAUACGAAAGCGUGGGGAGCAAACAGG
rnacentral:rRNA from 1 species